rnacentral:rRNA from 1 species
CCUACGGGAGGCAGCAGUGAGGAAUAUUGGUCAAUGGGCGAGAGCCUGAACCAGCCAAGUAGCGUGCAGGAUGACGGCCCUAUGGGUUGUAAACUGCUUUUAUAAGGGUAAUAAAGUGGGGCUCGUGAGCUCCUUUGCAUGUACCUUAUGAAUAAGGACCGGCUAAUUCCGUGCCAGCAG